GUCAUAAACUCCCUUGACGUAAUGCAUUUUUUGUAGCGAAGAUUCCUGAUCUUCAUCCGAAUCCUCUCCAUUCUUUCUGUUGACAAUUUCACUCGACCCUUGACAGUGUCUAUGGCUGCCCCCAGGAAUAUGAUAUUCUGAGUGGGAAUCAUCAUACUUUUUUCCAUGUUCAACUUCCAUCCAUGGAUCACGAGUGUGGAGGGCUACAGUCUUGCUGGAUGUACCUACAAUCAGAAAGUUGUCCAAAUAAUGAUAGAUCUCUAUCCCUUUCUUUCAGAUAACUGCCACCAAAGUGAUUAGGAUCUUUCAGAAUGAUCUCGGUGCCAGGCUUAACCCAAACGGAAGUCCCUUGAACUGGUAGUGUCUUCCAAAUACAAAAAAUCUGAGGAACUUGC